GGACUACACGGGUAUCUAAUCCUGUUUGAUCCCCGCACUUUCGUGCCUCAGCGUCAGUUAUAGUUUCGUUAGCUGCCUUCGCAAUCGGUGUUCUAUGACAUAUCUAAGUAUUUCACCACUACAUGUCAUAUUCCGCCAACGUCAUCUAUACUCUAGACCUGCAGUAUCAAUGGCAGUUUCUCAGUUAAGCUGAGAGAUUUCACCACUGACUUACAGGUCCGCCUACGCACCCUUUAAACCCAAUGAAUCCGGAUAACGCUUGCAUCCUUCGUCUUACCGCGGCUGCUGGCAC
rnacentral:rRNA from 1 species